rnacentral:rRNA from 1 species
CCUACGGGAGGCAGCAGUGGGGAAUUUUGGACAAUGGACGCAAGUCUGAUCCAGCCAUGCCGCGUGUGGGAAGAAGGCCUUCGGGUUGUAAACCACUUUUGUCAGGGAAGAAACGGCUCGGGUUAAUACCUUGGGCUAAUGACGGUACCUGAAGAAUAAGCACCGGCUAACUACGUGCCAGCAGCCGCGGUAAUACGUAGGGUGCAAGCGUUAAUCGGAAUUACUGGGCGUAAAGCGUGCGCAGGCGGUUAUGCAAGACAGAUGUGAAAUCCCCGGGCUCAACCUGGGAACUGCAUUUGUGACUGCAUGGCUAGAGUACGGUAGAGGGGGAUGGAAUUCCGCGUGUAGCAGUGAAAUGCGUAGAUAUGCGGAGGAACACCGAUGGCGAAGGCAAUCCCCUGGACCUGUACUGACGCUCAUGCACGAAAGCGUGGGGAGCAAACAGGAUUAGAUACCCUGGUAGUCCACGCCCUAAACGAUGUCAACUGGUUGUUGGGAGGGUUUCUUCUCAGUAACGUAGCUAACGCGUGAAGUUGACCGCCUGGGGAUACGGCCGCAAGGUUGAAACUCAAAUGAAUUGACCGGNGNGAGAGNGCGAGACGACGACGAGGGAGGAGG